GGGAAGGAUGACACAUGUUCAGCCCGGCCCAGUGGCAGAGCAGCCGGCGAGGCAGAGCCAAUGGCUGCUUUUCAUGCUCAGUGAGUCCGUCCACCUCCACCCCCCCCUCCCCGAGUCCUUAAGUUGCAGCUUUUAACUACCUCGGUGUUCAAAGCAAAUAUGAUGCUCAGCGUGAACAGAAGGAAGAGCCUGCUGACAGGUAGACAGCAUGGACACUGAUCCCGGCAGGGCCGGCUGCUGAGAGAGGUGUCCCGGGGGUGCUCCUGAGCCUCUCCUGCUGCUCCAGGUGAUGCCCCAGUUCACCUUCGCUUGCUUCUGCGGGCUCCAUGGCUUCUGCAAGAUGAAGAGGAAGAAAGAAGAGGCCAGUGCCCAGCAGGAGACGGCCGUGUGAGGAGCAGACAGACCCUGCUGAGCUGUGCCUCGGGACCCCGCCCGGCCCCUCGACGCUGGUUGUGGCCAGGGGAGAGCCAAGGCACGGGAAUGACCUUGCCGGGAGGCAGAAGCAGAGGUUGGGGGUGUCACCCAGGAGCUGCAGCAAUCCCACCCCAGCACUCGGGGUCAGAGGGACCCUGCAUCCCGGGGGGAUAGAGAUUUCCCUCCUGGACGAGCCAACCUGCCCUUGCUCCAGCAAAUCUCGACAGACAGACCUGGAAAGGGUUGCAAAAGCCGGGGCCAGACCUUGGAAUCCCAGUCCUGGACAGGGCUGGCCCCUGGCUGGUAAGUUGUCCUGCUGCUGCAGGACUGGCUGAAGGCACAAAAUGAGCCAGUUUGGGGCUUGUUUCUCUUUUUAAAGCCUCAAGCAGUCGUCUGUGAGUCCAGGAAGCCAUUCUCCGUGCCUCUGCCCUCCUGCUCCCGUACCCUGGAGUGCUCUGGAGGCACCAGACACACGGACCCUGCUCGGACCAGUGCAGACCAGGAGCUCCCACCCCAUGGGCAGGGGGGACACCUCGGGGUGGGAACCCAUCCCCUGCACCCCUGGGCCAUGAGGCUCAGCAGGAGGUUGUUCUCUUUUGGUGAACAGGACCAAAUUCCUGAGCUUGGGGGACCUGAGAUCCAUUCCAGGGACAUGUUCUCCAGGGCAGAAAUCCUUAAAUUCUUCCAUACUGCACUUCCCACCUCCCUGUGGAGACCCUCUGAGCCUGGGGCCAAAAGCAGUGCCCAGAACUGCUGGGCAGGAGCUGCUCUUCCCCAGGGUUAGUCCUGCUCCUGCCACCACCUUUCCUGUGGUGGCUGUGCCCAGGAACCCCCUUUCCUCCCCCACCCUGUCCCUCUGUCCUUCCCACCCUCUGCUAAAGCCAUACAGGAGCCCCCCGCAUGCUGUGCCUUCCCGAGGGGUCUCAGGCAGACAUUCCCACUGGGAUACCCUCCAAACAGCCCCAGGAGAGCUGGUGAGUGUUGGUGAGCCAGGGUCUCCCAGGUUUUGGGUCUGGGUGACAGGUCCCCCAUCCCUGAACACACCCAGGGUUUGGGUCUCAGUGCCCAGUUCCCUCUCCCUGAAUUCCCAGCAUUCCCAUCCAGGCACCAGCAGCUCCCAUUUGCUGGAGAGCAGCCUCUGGAAAGGGAAAAUGCUUGGGGGCAGCUGGUUGGCACAGGGGGGGUGUUGACUUUGAGACCUCCGAGGAGCCCCCACCGUGGGGGAUGAGCACACUCGGAGCACAAAUCCUCCCCUGUGAUUAAGAGACUUGACCUUUCCAGGGUUUUCCCAGUGCUCCCAGACCCACACUCGGCCAACAGAGCUGUCUGUGCCACUGACAGCUCCCUUGGGAGCAGAUUUGUUGGCUCAGCCAACAUCCAGGACCAACACGGCUGUUAUUUUAUUUUCUUAUCCAAAGGAUUUAGCACGAGAACCCGAGCUUGGCCAGAAGCACCAAUAACAACACAAGGUGCAGCUGAGGAGCUUUAAAUCCUCCCUGCUGGGUGCCUGUUUCCCAGGAAAGCAGCUGACUGGGGUGGGAUGUGCUGGGAGGUGGGACACGGGCAGGGGGACACGGGCUGUGCGUGGUCUGUGUGUGUCACACCCGGGCUGGGGCAGCUCAGGACACUUUGCUCUUUCCCUACUUUAAUCCCAAACCAUGUGAGCUGUAGGAUCCAGGGGUGCAGCCCCAGGUGGGUGUUUCCCAGCUGGACUCCAGGUUUUGGCAGGGAAGAGGACACAUGUGAGGUGACCUGUGAGGGAGCAGCCUGUCCAGCUGCCCUCUCACUUGUCACCAUCGAGCCCAGCAAAUUCCAGCCUGGUUAAUGCUGAUGCUCCCACAUUUUGACUUGGUUGGGGGACACAAGGGGGGUCCCUGCUAAUGAUCUGAGCAGGCAUCACCCCGUGAGAGCAGCAGGAGAGCACCCAGAGCAGAGGUUUGGAGGAAAAUCAUGGGGAUCUGUGCUCAGAUGGAACUAAAUCAUUGCUGAGGGGUGAGGAAGAGUGGCCCAGUUCAUUGCUGUGCUGCUGAACCCCUUGGAUCACAGAGCCAGGGAUGUGCAGCUAUUGAGGUUCUGUGUCUCUGGAGCAGCACUGGGGAGGAGGCUGGAGCUGGGGAGGGGCUUCCAGUUCUCCCAGUUGCAGUGGGAGUCCCCCAGGCUGGGCUGGGAUGAGCUGUCUCGAACAUUCCUGCCUCCAGAGAGGGGUUCCCAAGCCCGGGGUUUAAUGAAUGUAGCACGUAAAACUGAGACAGGCAGACACUCGCCCACACCCAUUAUAUGUGCAUUGAAAAACACGAAAAAAAAUGAACCAGGAGCCAUGUGAACGUUGAAGCACUCGAGCUUUAAGCAGUUAUUUUUGAAGAGAAUUUCCCACCUCCCUGGAUGGAUGUAGCUCUCUGGAAGCAACAAUAUGUUUUCCACCAUGGUUUGCUCCUGGCUUGACCUCUAUUGUGCUCAUAAAACGGCUCGUGGUGCUUUUUUGAUUCCCCCCCGUCGUAAUGACUCGACCUCCAGAUUUAUGGCUGAAGGUCUUUUUCGCCCGCACGUUGUUUCCCCACCAGACCGCAGCCUGAUUUUUUUUUUUUUUUGCUUUUCUGGAGCAAAUCUGCCAAGAGCUGAGCGUCCCCCCCCCCCCUCCCCCGGGCCCCUCGGGGCCCCCCCCAUCCUCCCACUGACAGAUCUGCAGUGGGCAAAAGCAAAAUGGGUUUUGUUUCUCUCUUUCCCGUGGCGGCGUUUUAAUAGGGCAGCGUCUGCUCGGAGCCUGCGAGGACUGGGGCGUGACAGCUCCUGUCACAGAACACUCUCUCCCCGUCUCCUUCUCUCUUCCCCCACAUUUGCACAACCCCUGGCAUUUUUAUAAGCUCGGAGUUUUGCUUAUUUUCCAGGAUUUCCUCUUGCUCCUCCUGCCUUUGGCUCUUCCAACCCCACUUUUGCUUCUCUGCUCCAGAGUCCCCUGGGCCUGAGCGAUGCUGGAGUAGAUGAAUCUCACUGGCUUACUAACUGUCAUCCAGUAGUUUCCAAGUGCUUUUCCAAGGUUUUUCCAUCCUCUGGAGGGAGGAAGGAAGGUGCAGGGACC